GCUAGCUCUGUUUUCUGUGCUCUGCUAUCUUUUUGCUCUGUUUCUCUAGGUGCUCCGUUUUUCACCGGCUCUGUUUCUCUACUUGUUAUGUGCUACUCUGCUUGACCCUUAAAAAUGGAUCAGAUGUUUCUCUCUGACCCUGAGAGCAUCAUCAUUGCUAGAUCUAGUCGGCGAAAAAAAAAACUGAAACCUUUCCUCCAUUUAUCA